rnacentral:lncRNA from 13 species
CUAAAAUAUUUCCCUCCCCCACAUAAAUGAUGUCUUUCUUUUGGUAGAGAGAAAAUAACCUUCUGCAUCAAUCUAAUAUUUGAUUAAUUUUCUUUUCCCUGGAACAGACAAUUUAUAGCUUAAAACUAAAGCACUCUACAUUCUACUUACUCCAGGAAAAAGCUGCAUUAAAAUCCAUUUGAACUUAGGAGUAAGAAGAAAGAUGAGCUCACGGUGUUACCAUUUUCCAUGGGGCCUGAAUGAGAGGGCAGGGUUCAUGCUUGAACAUUUUCUCCUCAUUAGCACUUCAGCUCCUGCGCUUAAGCUCUGAGCCCCACCUCCUGACCUGACUCAGACAAGGGGAACUGAGUGAUGAGGUGAUAAUGAGGAGAAAAUGUUCUGCCCUGUUCCGGGCCAGGCUGGUACAAAGCAGGACCACAGGGAUGAGACUGUACCUGGGUGUUUAAAAAUCUUUCUUCAUUUGGGAUAAACAGCAUGGUGAAAAUUCAUAAUCGGAAUGAAAAAGAGGAGGAAGAGGCUGCAGCAGCAAUGAGGACAGACAAAAGCCAUCUCAGAGUCUCACCCGGGCAGCCGCUCCCCACCUCAGGGACCUCUAGGGGAGGCGCCCCCUGAACUGUUCCAGGGCCCCAGAGUUCCAGCCCCGUGGAGGAUAAGCAACUACCCAGCGAUAUUCACCUGAAAUUCCUUAGGGUCCUGGGAACCUCCAGAGGUAAGUCAGGUCUGGGGACCGGUCCAUCAGGGGGCCUGAGUCUGGGGACCAGACGCAGUCACUGCAACUCUGACCAGGCAAGCCUACCAUGAGACGUCACUGGAGGCUCAGGUUACCUGACUGGAGGCUCGGGUAAUUUAGUUUUUGUUUGUUUUCCAUAACCUCAGUUGAGUGAGAGAGUGAAUGUGUAUAUAUGUAGUCCCAUGGCUGCAAGGCUACGGGGCUUGUGUGGGCCUUCACCCGCAGUUCCACGGGGACGUCAUAAGGCAUAACGGUGAUUCACCUCAGGACUAAAAAUUCUGGAGUGAUCAGGCCCGGGGUUUAUACGGGUAUACCUUAGCCAAGACGCUCUGAAACAUCCCUCUGGGGACGUGGCCUGGCAGGCGUCAGUCUGGUCUCCCAUCUGGGGGGCACCCAU